CAGCCGCCACGGGAAUACGGAGGGUGCAAGCGUUAUUCGGAAUCACUGGGCGUAAAGCGCACGCAGGCGGUUGCCCAAGUCAGAUGUGAAAGCCCCGGGCUUAACCUGGGAACUGCAUUUGAAACUGGGCGACUAGAGUAUGAAAGAGGAAAGCGGAAUUUCCAGUGUAGCAGUGAAAUGCGUAGAUAUUGGAAGGAACACCGAUGGCGAAGGCAGCUUUCUGGGUCGAUACUGACGCUCAUGUGCGAAAGCGUGGGGAGCAAACAGGAUUAGAUACCCGCGUAGUCCCUGUCUCUUAUAU
rnacentral:rRNA from 1 species